GGGGCUUCCUCCAGGGUACCGUCAUUUGUUUCUUCCCCAAGGACAGAGCUUUACGACCCAAAGGCCUUCAUCGCUCACGCGGCGUUGCUGCAUCAGGCUUUCGCCCAUUGUGCAAUAUUCCUCACUGCUGCCUCCCGUAGGAGUUUGGACCGUGUCUCAGUUCCAAUGUGGCNGAUGAACCUCUCAGUUCUGCUACUGAUCGCAGCCUUGGUGAGCCGUUACCUCACCAACUAGCUAAUCAGACGCAGGCCCAUCCCAUACCGAUAAAUCUUUGGCCAAAGAGCCAUGUGACUCGAUGGCAUUAUGAGGUUUUAAUCCCGAUUUCUCGAGGCUAUCCCUCUGUAUGGGGCAGGUUGCCUACGCGUUACUCACCCGUCCGCCGCU
rnacentral:rRNA from 1 species